UGGGGGUGGGCCCGCGGGUCCCAGUACCUGGUCCAGGAGGCAGCGUCUCCCUCCCGUACGGGAUAAGACGCCCCCUCCGCGGGUUCCCUGUCCGCUGCCCACUCUGGAGAGGCAGCCCCACUUGGAGGGACCAGGACUCGAGCCCUGCCCAUCCCCGAAUCUUGGGAGCCCUGCGUGGGGAGCGUCGAGGGUCUGGGUCGGGGGGCAAACGAGUGUGGAGACAUUAGAACACUAUUUAAAGAGUGUACAUCUCCUAGUGAAGCAAAUGAUAAACUUCCCACCUACAAAGUGUGAGAAAUUGGCAAUGUAAAGAUGUGAAGAGAGAUACGGUACUAUGGAAGGAGAGAAAGCACUAUAUAUGAGGGCCUACCAAGUGCCAGGCAGCAUUCCAAGCCCUGGAAUCCAGUGAUGAACAUGACAGACAAGAUUCCUGCCCCCAAGGAGCUGCACCUUACUAAGUCCAGCAAUGAAGGAGACAGAAAAUAAACAGAGGAAAAUACACAAGAUGCCAGCUUGUGAGAAGUGCUAACGAAAAAAGACACAAGUAUGUCCAGAGAGUCUGAGGUGUAUACAGUAGUUACUGGUACCCACUAUGCACCAGCCACUGUGCUGGGCACGGAUGGACACACAUCAGCCCCUGCCCGCGUGGUGGAACAGGGAUAUGGGAGAGAAAGACAACAAACAACUCGGUGUACAAACAGUCAACUACAGUGGAAAAGCAAAGAUUAAAUCCUCAUACCUCUCUGGAAGAGUGGAGGGGACCACAUUCCAGCAUCUGGUGCCCUGUUUGCCCCAAACAUGACUUCAAGUGAAUCCACAUAAUACUCUUCCAGAGGGAAAGCAGAACCAUCUGCAGGGCUGAGGGACCAAGAAACACAGCGAGGAAUUCCACAGGAGGCCCACGCGGAGGGAUGUAUCACCCCAGGUGGACUCUAGGGGACGUUCACUUGGAGCUUGCAUCACCCGGAACUGUGUCUGCCACUGUGACUUCAGAGCAGCACAGACCUGAGGUGGAUCCAGCAAUGCCCACAACUGUCCAACAAUUUCACUUUUCCGAGGCUCAGUUUCCAUGUGGAAAAUGGACUGGCUCUGAGUAUUAAAUGAGAAUGAAUGUCCAUGUGUCUCACUCCUUUCUUCAUGAAAGGAAGACACCUCUGGGACUCAGAAAAAUGGUC